rnacentral:snRNA from 1 species
GAGUGUACGUUUCAGCAGCUCAUAGACUAAAAUUGGAGUGAUACCAAGAAGAUUAGCAAGGCCCCUGUGCAUGGAUGACAUUCAAAUUCAUGAAGCUUUCCAUAUUUUU